CUCCAAAGGGCAUCCACUGCUACUGCAACAUAUUUGGAAGAAGAAACGAGUCGAACUCCAUGGGAAAAGUCAAGCAAAAGAUGUUGGAGUGGCUAGUGCAAUUCGUCAGCCUGUUGCAGUGAACCCUGUGCGUCGGCUUCCUGCAGCACCCCCAGCCAGUGAAUCUGCACCUACUGGGCCACCUGCCUCUAUCCUGACUAAAGCUCAGCGCAAAACUUCUUCAAACCCAG